rnacentral:rRNA from 1 species
UACGGGAGGCAGCAGUGGGGAAUAUUGCACAAUGGGCGCAAGCCUGAUGCAGCCAUGCCGCGUGUAUGAAAAAGGCCUUCGGGUUGUAAAGUACUUUCAGUCGUGAGGAAGGUGUUAAGGUUAAUAACCUUAGCAAUUGACGUUAGCGACAGAAGAAGCACCGGCUAACUCCGUGCCAGCAGCCGCGGUAAUACGGAGGGUGCGAGCGUUAAUCGGAAUUACUGGGCGUAAAGGGCACGCAGGCGGUUAAUUAAGUUGGAUGUGAAAUCCCCGGGCUUAACCUGGGAAUGGCAUUCAAGACUGGUUAGCUAGAGUCUUGUAGAGGGGGUAGAAUUCCGAUGUGUAGCGGUGAAAUGCGUAGAGAUGUGGAGGAAUACCGGUGGCGAAGGCGGCCCCUGGACAAAGACUGACGCUCAUGUGCGAAAGCUGGGGAGCAAACAGGGAUUAGAUACC